rnacentral:rRNA from 1 species
UACGUAGGUGACAAGCGUUGUCCGGAUUUACUGGGCGUAAAGAGCGCGCAGGCGGUCGAUCAAGUCGAGUGUGAAAGCCCCCGGCUCAACUGGGGAGGGUCACGCGAUACUGCUCGACUUGAAGGCAGGAGAGGGAAGUGGAAUUCCCGGUGUAGUGGUGAAAUGCGUAGAUAUCGGGAGGAACACCAGUGGCGAAGGCGACUUCCUGGCCUGUUCUUGACGCUGAGGCGCGAAAGCUAGGGGAGCAAACGGG